rnacentral:rRNA from 1 species
GAUGAACGCUGGCGGCGUGCCUAAUACAUGCAAGUCGAGCGAACGGACGAGAAGCUUGCUUCUCUGAUGUUAGCGGCGGACGGGUGAGUAACACGUGGAUAACCUACCUAUAAGACUGGGAUAACUUCGGGAAACCGGAGCUAAUACCGGAUAAUAUUUUGAACCGCAUGGUUCAAAAGUGAAAGACGGUCUUGCUGUCACUUAUAGAUGGAUCCGCGCUGCAUUAGCUAGUUGGUAAGGUAACGGCUUACCAAGGCAACGAUGCAUAGCCGACCUGAGAGGGUGAUCGGCCACACUGGAACUGAGACACGGUCCAGACUCCUACGGGAGGCAGCAGUAGGGAAUCUUCCGCAAUGGGCGAAAGCCUGACGGAGCAACGCCGCGUGAGUGAUGAAGGUCUUCGGAUCGUAAAACUCUGUUAUUAGUGAAGAACAUAUGUGUAAGUAACUGUGCACAUCUUGACGGUACCUAAUCAGAAAGCCACGGCUAACUACGUG